UACGGGAGGCAGCAGUGAGGAAUAUUGGUCAAUGGGAGAGAUCCUGAACCAGCCAAGCCGCGUGAGGGAAGACGGCCCUAUGGGUUGUAAACCUCUUUUGUCGGAGAACAAAACCCGGGACGUGUCCCGGACUGCGUGUAUCCGAAGAAAAAGCAUCGGCUAACUCCGUGCCAGCAGCCGCGGUAAUACGGAGGAUGCGAGCGUUAUCCGGAUUUAUUGGGUUUAAAGGGUGCGUAGGCGGUCUGUUAAGUCAGCGGUAAAAUUGCGGGGCUCAACCCCGUCGAGCCGUUGAAACUGGCAGACUUGAGUUGGCGAGAAGUACGCGGAAUGCGCGGUGUAGCGGUGAAAUGCAUAGAUAUCGCGCAGAACUCCGAUUGCGAAGGCAGCGUACCGGCGCCAGACUGACGCUGAGGCACGAAAGCGUG
rnacentral:rRNA from 1 species